GUCACAAAGAGUGGGAGACAACUGAAGCAACUCAGCACACAGACCCAAACUCCUUAAAAAUUUCCUUUAACCUCCUCUUCCUUCUAAAAAGUGCUCUCUAGAUGUCUCUGCUUUUUCCAGAGCUCUAGCCCACCUGUGUCAUGCCUCCACGAUGCUUCCAUGGGUAGUGCUACUAAGCCACGUUUGUUUUGUCAAAUGCGCAGCAAACCAAAAUGCUGAGACACCAGGAUUUGCAGCAAAUACAGGGUUUAUUUGCAAGUCAGCCAUUCAAGGAGACAGGAGGAGAAAUCUCAAAUCCUCCUCUCUGAAGGCAAGGGCCUCUGGUGUUUAUGGGAUAAAGAAUAAAUAAGCAGGGCAGUCUCAGGCCUGUGGACGUGGGGCCGUUGGGGCAAGGUGAUUGGAAAAAGGUGCAGUAAUCACUUUCUGCCAAGGUGUAACUAAAGAACAGGGCUUCACAUGUGCAAAGUGCUCUAAGGACGCUAGUGCAUGCCCAGUUGAAGGGUCAGGAAUCCCAUUUGAUCUUAACCUGUUCAGCUUGAGAUAGGCAACUGAUUCCAAGUUCCUGGGAAACGGUUUGAAGAACAUCUUAUCUUUUAGGAUACCUGCUGCUUAGAGGACAGCAAUCACUGUGGUCCAGGUGAUGGUAUAGUUAUUCCUGGACAGUAUCAUCGUAUUUAUUACAUAGUAAACUAUGGUCCAAGGGCAGAGAGAGUCUUCAGAACACAAUGCAAACCUGCGAGCUGAGACGGGGAAUGGAGUAGGAAUGUCCCAGACCACCGCACCAGGUCAUGCACCGCGGCAGCAUCUCAGGCAGCCCAGUGAGGAGCUCUGGACCAGAAUGCCCAUUAGCUCUCUUAAAUAAGCUCUGGCCUGACCUGUGGAGGAGACACUGGACUCGCCAAUUUCCUUCAUCAGAAGAAACAUUUCCCCCACAGCACAGGCUCCAGGCCUUGGUUAUUAAAUCAGCAAAACCCAAAUGCUCCCAAGAUAAACUCCUGAUGUUGCGAUGAUAGCAGUCACCCUGGAGAACCCCACCUGGUACUUGUCACCCGUGCAAAUGCCAUCAGCAGCGAGCAUCCCGGCCACAACAGCCAACAGAGGCAAAGCCCAGAGUGACCCUCAACAAAGAAAGGCUCAUGGCCAUGGAUUUCCCAGAGGAGCUUGCUUAACAUGCAGAUUUCUGGUCCAGCGAAGCUGCUGCAGCGGGUUUGACCUGGGCCCUGAACAGAGCUUCCCAGGUGAUGCUGACCCAGCCCACACUCUGAGAGCCCCCGGUUCCCCAGAGCAGCGACCUGGAACCUGUGUGGAUUUGUAUCCCAAGGAUGAACACAUUUUACUUCUCACCCUCAAAAUAAGGGUAUUAACGUGUAAGUUUUAUACAUGUAAUCCUGAAAUCCAGGAUAUUAAAUAAUAGGAAAACAUUUUUUUAAGGAUAAAAAUAAACACAGAUAGAAAUUGUAA